rnacentral:misc_RNA from 1 species
UUGAAUCCUUAGGAUGUUGCUGGCCUUUCGAGGCAUGUGCACUCCACCUUUCAAUCCACCUGUGAACUUAUUGUAGGCCAGAUGUAAAAAGUCUGCGUCUACGUUUUUUAAUACACCCUUAUAAAAAAGUUAUAGAAUGUCUAUUGAUUAGACCUUUAAUGGUCAAUAAACUUAAUA